UACGUAGGGUGCGAGCGUUGUCCGGAAUUAUUGGGCGUAAAGGGCGCGUAGGCGGCCUGGCAAGUGGAAGGUGAAAUCCCUCGGCUUAACCGAGGAACUGCCCUCCAAACUGCUUGGCUUGAGUCCGGGAGAGGUGAGUGGAAUUCCCAGUGUAGCGGUGAAAUGCGUAGAUAUUGGGAGGAACACCAGUGGCGAAGGCGGCUCACUGGACCGGAACUGGCGCUGAGGCGCGAAAGCGUGGAGAGCAAACGGG
rnacentral:rRNA from 1 species